rnacentral:misc_RNA from 1 species
GUAAGAACGCAGCGAAAUGCGAUAAGUAAUGUGAAUUGCAGAAUUCAGUGAAUCAUCGAAUCUUUGAACGCACAUUGCGCCCGCUGGUAUUCCGGCGGGCAUGCCUGUUCGAGCGUCAUUUCAACCCUCAAGCUCUCCGGAGUUUGGUGUUGGGGCGCCUGGGGCUUUUCGACCUCAGGGCCCUCAAGUCCAUCGGCGGGACCGCCAGGACACUGAGCGCAGUAGUAUUAUUUCGCUCGGUAGGAUCUUCCACGGCGGGUCGAUCUGGCCGCUAAACCCCCCAAUUCUCACCAAAGGUUGACCUCGGAUCAGGUAGGAAUACCCGCUGAACUUAAGCAUAUCAAUAAGCGGAGGA